UACGAGGGGGGCAAGCGUUGUUCGGAAUUAUUGGGCGUAAAGGGCGCGUAGGCGGUGCGGUAAGUCACCUGUGAAAACUCUGGGCUCAACUCAGAGCCUGCAGGCGAAACUGCCGUGCUGGAGUGUGGGAGAGGUGCGUGGAAUUCCCGGUGUAGCGGUGAAAUGCGUAGAUAUCGGAAGGAACACCAGUGGCGAAAGCGGCUUCCUGGUCCAGCACCGACAUUCAGGCACGAAAGCGUGGGGAGCAAACAGG
rnacentral:rRNA from 1 species